rnacentral:rRNA from 1 species
GAUGAACGCUGGCGGCGUGCCUAAUACAUGCAAGUCGAGCGAACGGACGAGAAGCUUGCUUCUCUGAUGUUAGCGGCGGACGGGUGAGUAACACGUGGAUAACCUACCUAUAAGACUGGGAUAACUUCGGGAAACCGGAGCUAAUACCGGAUAAUAUUUUGAACCGCAUGGUUCAAAAGUGAAAGACGGUCUUGCUGUCACUUAUAGAUGGAUCCGCGCUGCAUUAGCUAGUUGGUAAGGUAACGGCUUACCAAGGCAACGAUGCAUAGCCGACCUGAGAGGGUGAUCGGCCACACUGGAACUGAGACACGGUCCAGACUCCUACGGGAGGCAGCAGUAGGGAAUCUUCCGCAAUGGGCGAAAGCCUGACGGAGCAACGCCGCGUGAGUGAUGAAGGUCUUCGGAUCGUAAAACUCUGUUAUUAGGGAAGAACAUAUGUGUAAGUAACUGUGCACAUCUUGACGGUACCUAAACAGAAAGCCCCGGCUAACUACGUG